CGGACGGGUGAGUAAUGUAUGGGGAUCUGCCUGAUGGCGGGGGAUAACUACUGAAAACGGUAGCUAAUACCGCAUAAUGUCUACGGACCAAAGCGGGGGGACCUCCGGGCCUCGCGCCAUCAGAUGAACCCAUAUGGGAUUAGCUUGUAGGUAAGGUAACGGCUUACCUAGGCGACGAUCCCUAGCUGGUCUGAGAGGAUGACCAGCCACACUGGAACUGAGACACGGUCCAG
rnacentral:rRNA from 1 species